GAUUUCUUCUGGGAUGAUGAGUUUAGGCCAAAAUGGGACCCGAUGCUUGGUUAUUUCAAGAUAUUGCAGGAGUGGCCACAUACAGGAUCUAUGAUUAUCCACUGGAUUAAAAAGUUCCCGUUCUUCUGCAGUGAUCGUGAAUAUAUAAUCGGUAGAAGAAUAUGGGAAUCUGGGAAAACAUAUUACUGCGUAACAAAGAGUGUACCAUACUCAUCUCUGCAAAGACGUGAUAAGCCGAGGCGUGUGGACCUGUACUUUUCAAGCUGGAUAGUCAAGCCGGUGGAAUCGAAGAAGGGAGAUGGACAGUUAUCUGCAUGUGAAGUCACACUUCUUCACUAUGAAGAUAUGGGCAUCCCUAAAGAUGUUGCUAAAUUGGGAGUUCGUCAUGGAAUGUGGGGAACAGUGAAGAAGUUGCACAACGGCUUCAGAGCAUAUCAGAAUGCAAGAAAAUCAGAGGCGGCAGUUUCUAGGUGUGCAAUGAUGGCACGAAUCACUACAAAGAUCUCGCUUGAUGAAAAUGUUGAUGCUUUGGAGCAAGUUUCUGUUGAAGAAGAUAGAGCGGAAAUCCAAGGCCAGAGAGGAGAUGGUGGGAUCGACUGGAAAUGGGUGGCUAUAGGAACAGUGGCUGUAGUUUGUGGCGUUCGUUCAGGUAUGAUAGGAAAAGCUGUGCUAUUUGGAGCAGGGCAAAGGAUUGCUCGCAGAGGCAGAAAUGCUUAGUGAGGAUUCUACCGUAUGUAUUAUUCUUUAUUGGUUUGACAUUAAAGCCUAAAACCAGCAGCGUAAUUACUCUUGACAUAAAAAAAGAGAUCGUUCCUUCACACGGAUCUACAACACAGUGUUGAAGCUUCUUCUGACUUUAUUUUGUUAUGUUGAAGAAUGGCUGCCGCCUAAAACAAAGUUGGUGCUUGGUUCAGUGUGUCCUUUUUUUUCAAUACAAACAUAUUAGUUUGCAC
rnacentral:misc_RNA from 1 species